CCAGACUCCUACGGGAGGCAGCAGUGGGGGAUAUUGCACAAUGGGGGGAACCCUGAUGCAGCGACGCCGCGUGGGUGAAGGAGUGCUUCGGCAUGUAAAGCCCUAUCGGCAGGGAAGAAGCAAGACGGUACCUGACUAAGAAGCCCCGGCUAACUACGUGCCAGCAGCCGCGGUAAUACGUAGGGGGCAAGCGUUAUCCGGAUUUACUGGGUGUAAAGGGGGCGUAGACGGCAGCGCAAGUCUGAAGUGAAAUGCCGGGGCUUAACCCCGGAACUGCUUUGGAAACUGAGCAGCUAGAGUGCAGGAGAGGUAAGUGGAAUUCCAGGUGUAGGAGUGAAAUCCGUAGAUAUCUGGAGGAACAUCAGUGGCGAAGGCGACUAUCUGGCACAUAACUGACGCUGAGGAGCGAAAGCGUGGGUAGCAAACAGGAUUAGAUACCCCUGUAG
rnacentral:rRNA from 1 species